rnacentral:lncRNA from 1 species
UCCUAUCCUGUCCAUCCAACCAAACAAAUAAAACCAGGACUUCUAAAAGCUGGAUGACAAUCUCCCAUCCAGCUUCAUCCAAGCAACCAAAUGCAACUUAAAGAUACAGUAGUCGUCCUGUGAACUUGCAUUAAAAGUGAAGGUUCACCGAGAAAUUCUCUGUUGGUUUACCUGAAAGGGCAUGUACCAUGGCCUCAGUCGCAUAUGAAUAGAAACAAAGCCAAGGUUAGUUGGUGGCACUAAUUCAACUUGAAUUUUUGUUGCUCAAUUUCAAUAAUAUAGUCUGAAAUAGCAGAGGGGAAUACAUAGAAGAAUGUUUACCUCUUGUCUCAUGUCCUUGCGACGCCUUUG